GAUGGCUUAAGCGGUUAGAACGUCCGUCUCGGAUGCGGAAGGUCGCGGGUUGGAACCCUGGCAGUCA